rnacentral:rRNA from 1 species
GACGAACGCUGGCGGCGUGCCUAACACAUGCAAGUCGAACGAGGUACUCAAGAACAAGUUUUCGGACGAGGGAAUGAGCACCGAGUGGCGGACGGGUGAGUAACGCGUGAGUAACCUGCCUUUCGGAGGGGGACAACAGUUGGAAACGACUGCUAAUACCGCAUAAUGUAUAUUGUGGGCAUCCACGAUAUACCAAAGAUUUAUCGCCGAAAGAUGGACUCGCGUCUGAUUAGCUAGUUGGUAGGGUAACGGCCUACCAAGGCUGCGAUCAGUAGCCGGACUGAGAGGUUGAACGGCCACAUUGGGACUGAGAUACGGCCCAGACUCCUACGGGAGGCAGCAGUGGGGAAUAUUGGGCAAUGGGGGAAACCCUGACCCAGCAACGCCGCGUGAAGGAAGAAGGCUUUCGGGUUGUAAACUUCUUUGACGAGGGACGAAAGAAAUGACGGUACCUCGAAAACAAGCUACGGCUAACUACGUG